rnacentral:rRNA from 1 species
GACGAACGCUGGCGGCGUGCUUAACACAUGCAAGUCGAACGGAAAGGCCCUGCUUUUGUGGGGUGCUCGAGUGGCGAACGGGUGAGUAACACGUGAGUAACCUGCCCUUGACUUUGGGAUAACUUCAGGAAACUGGGGCUAAUACCGGAUAGGAGCUCCUGCUGCAUGGUGGGGGUUGGAAAGUUUCGGCGGUUGGGGAUGGACUCGCGGCUUAUCAGCUUGUUGGUGGGGUAGUGGCUUACCAAGGCUUUGACGGGUAGCCGGCCUGAGAGGGUGACCGGCCACAUUGGGACUGAGAUACGGCCCAGACUCCUACGGGAGGCAGCAGUGGGGAAUAUUGCACAAUGGGCGGAAGCCUGAUGCAGCAACGCCGCGUGCGGGAUGACGGCCUUCGGGUUGUAAACCGCUUUCGCCUGUGACGAAGCGUGAGUGACGGUAAUGGGUAAAGAAGCACCGGCUAACUACGUGCCAGCAGCCGCGGUGAUACGUAGGGUGCGAGCGUUGUCCGGAUUUAUUGGGCGUAAAGGGCUCGUAGGUGGUUGAUCGCGUCGGAAGUGUAGUCUUGGGGCUUAACCCUGAGCGUGCUUUCGAUACGGGUUGACUUGAGGAAGGUAGGGGAGAAUGGAAUUCCUGGUGGAGCGGUGGAAUGCGCAGAUAUCAGGAGGAACACCAGUGGCGAAGGCGGUUCUCUGGGCCUUUCUUGACGCUGAGGAGCGAAAGCGUGGGGAGCGAACAGGCUUAGAUACCCUGGUAGUCCACGCUGUAAACGGUGGGUACUAGGUGUGGGGUCCAUUCCACGGGUUCCGUGCCGUAGCUAACGCUUUAAGUACCCCGCCUGGGGAGUACGGCCGCAAGGCUAAAACUCAAAGGAAUUGACGGGGCCCCGCACAAGCGGCGGAGCAUGCGGAUUAAUUCGAUGCAACGCGUAGAACCUUACCUGGGUUUGACAUGGAUCGGGAGUGCUCAGAGAUGGGUGUGCCUCUUUUGGGGUCGGUUCACAGGUGGUGCAUGGCUGUCGUCAGCUCGUGUCGUGAGAUGUUGGGUUAAGUCCCGCAACGAGCGCAACCCUUGUUCACUGUUGCCAGCACGUUAUGGUGGGGACUCAGUGGAGACCGCCGGGGUCAACUCGGAGGAAGGUGGGGAUGACGUCAAGUCAUCAUGCCCCUUAUGUCCAGGGCUUCACGCAUGCUACAAUGGCUGGUACAGAGAGUGGCGAGCCUGUGAGGGUGAGCGAAUCUCGGAAAGCCGGUCUCAGUUCGGAUUGGGGUCUGCAACUCGACCUCAUGAAGUCGGAGUCGCUAGUAAUCGCAGCUCAGCAACGCUGCGGUGAAUACGUUCCCGGG